UAGUCAUAUGCUUGUCUCAAAGAUUAAGCCAUGCAUGUCUAAGUAUAAACUGCUUAUACUGUGAAACUGCGAAUGGCUCAUUAAAUCAGUUAUAGUUUAUUUGAUGGUACCUUUACUCGGAUAACCGUAGUAAUUCUAGAGCUAAUACGUGCGUAAAUCCCGACUUCUGGAAGGGACGUAUUUAUUAGAUAAAAGGCCAGCCGGGCUUGCCCGACCUUAGGCGAAUCAUGAUAACUUCACGAAUCGCACGGCCUUGUGCCGGCGAUGUUUCAUUCAAA
rnacentral:rRNA from 1 species